UACGUAGGUGGCAAGCGUUGUCCGGAAUCACUGGGCGUAAAGCGCGCGCAGGCGGCGAUCUACGUCUGGGGUGAAAGCCCGGAGCUCAACUCCGGGACUGCCUUGGAUACGGGAUCGCUUGAGGAUUGGAGAGGCAAGGGGGAAUUCCACGUGUAGCGGUGAAAUGCGUAGAUAUGUGGAGGAACACCUGUGGCGAAGGCGCCUUGCUGGCCAAUUUCUGACGCUGAGGCGCGAAAGCGUGGGGAGCAAACAGG
rnacentral:rRNA from 1 species